rnacentral:rRNA from 1 species
UACGGGGGGGGCAAACGUUGCUCGGAAUCAUUGGGCGUAAAAGCGCACGUAGGCGGUCCAGCAAGUCGGGUGUGAAAGCCCUCGGCUUAACCGAGGAAGUGCAUUCGAAACUACUGGACUUGAAUACUGGAGAGGAUCGCGGAAUUCCCGGUGUAGAGGUGAAAAUUCGUAGAUAUCGGGAGGAACACCAGUGGCGAAGGCGGUUCUCUGG